UACGUAGGUCCCGAGCGUUGUCCGGAUUUAUUGGGCGUAAAGCGAGCGCAGGUGGUUUAUUAAGUCUGGUGUAAAAGGCAGUGGCUCAACCAUUGUAUGCAUUGGAAACUGGUAGACUUGAGUGCAGGAGAGGAGAGUGGAAUUCCAUGUGUAGCGGUGAAAUGCGUAGAUAUAUGGAGGAACACCGGUGGCGAAAGCGGCUCUCUGGCCUGUAACUGACACUGAGACUCGAAAGCGUGAGGAGCAAACAGG
rnacentral:rRNA from 1 species